rnacentral:misc_RNA from 1 species
AACGCAAAUCGCGCUCGAGGCCUCGGCCGAGAGCAUGCCUGCCUCAGCGUCUUUUUCCACUCCUCCCCCUUGUCCGACAAGGAUGAAGGGGGGAGCUGGUCGUUUCGAGCUCCCAGAGCUGGAAUCGGCCGAAAGGCAGCAGCGCCACCCCCUCCAUCGAGGGUGACCGAAAGGUGACAGCCCAGCUGGUCCGAUCGGCGCCCGGGGCGCGGUGAGCGCUCGACCGGAGACAUUGACCGAGACUUCGACCUGAGUUCAGGCAAGAGCACCCGCUGAACUUAA